rnacentral:rRNA from 1 species
GAUGAACGCCGGCGGCGUGCCUAAUACAUGCAAGUCGAGCGAACAGACGAGGAGCUUGCUCCUCUGACGUUAGCGGCGGACGGGUGAGUAACACGUGGAUAACCUACCUAUAAGACUGGGAUAACUUCGGGAAACCGGAGCUAAUACCGGAUAAUAUAUUGAACCGCAUGGUUCAAUAGUGAAAGACGGUUUUGCUGUCACUUAUAGAUUGAUCCGCGCCGCAUUAGCUAGUUGGUAAGGUAACGGCUUACCAAGGCAACGAUGCGUAGGCGACCUGAGAGGGUGAUCGGCCACACUGGACCUGAGACACGGUCCAGACUCCUACGGGAGCCAGCAGUAGGGAAUCUUCCGCAAUGGGCGAAAGCCUGACGGAGCAACGCAGCGUGAGUGAUGAAGGUCUUCGGAUCGUAAAACUCUGUUAUUAGGGAAGAACAAAUGUGUAAGUAACUAUGCACGUAUUGACGGUACCUAAUCAGAAAGCCACGGCUAACUACGUG